rnacentral:rRNA from 2 species
UGGCGCCAAAUACUGCAGUCGAGCGGACAGAAGGGAGCUUGCUCCCGGAUGUUAGCGGCGGACGGGUGAGUAACACGUGGGUAACCUGCCUGUAAGACUGGGAUAACUCCGGGAAACCGGAGCUAAUACCGGAUAGUUCCUUGAACCGCAUGGUUCAAGGAUGAAAGACGGUUUCGGCUGUCACUUACAGAUGGACCCGCGGCGCAUUAGCUAGUUGGUGAGGUAACGGCUCACCAAGGCGACGAUGCGUAGCCGACCUGAGAGGGUGAUCGGCCACACUGGGACUGAGACACGGCCCAGACUCCUACGGGAGGCAGCAGUAGGGAAUCUUCCGCAAUGGACGAAAGUCUGACGGAGCAACGCCGCGUGAGUGAUGAAGGUUUUCGGAUCGUAAAGCUCUGUUGUUAGGGAAGAACAAGUGCAAGAGUAACUGCUUGCACCAUGACGGUACCUAACCAGAAAGCCACGGCUAACUACGUGCCAGCAGCCGCGGUAAUACGUAGGUGGCAAGCGUUGUCCGGAAUUAUUGGGCGUAAAGGGCUCGCAGGCGGUUUCUUAAGUCUGAUGUGAAAGCCCCCGGCUCAACCGGGGAGGGUCAUUGGAAACUGGGAAACUUGAGUGCAGAAGAGGAGAGUGGAAUUCCACGUGUAGCGGUGAAAUGCGUAGAGAUGUGGAGGAACACCAGUGGCGAAGGCGACUCUCUGGUCUGUAACUGACGCUGAGGAGCGAAAGCGUGGGGAGCGAACAGGAUUAGAUACCCUGGUAGUCCACGCCGUAAACGAUGAGUGCUAAGUGUUAGGGGGUUUCCGCCCCUUAGUGCUGCAGCUAACGCAUUAAGCACUCCGCCUGGGGAGUACGGUCGCAAGACUGAAACUCAAAGGAAUUGACGGGGGCCCGCACAAGCGGUGGAGCAUGUGGUUUAAUUCGAAGCAACGCGAAGAACCUUACCAGGUCUUGACAUCCUCUGACAACCCUAGAGAUAGGGCUUUCCCUUCGGGGACAGAGUGACAGGUGGUGCAUGGGUUGUCGUCAGCUCGUGUCGUGAGAUGUUGGGGUUAAGUCCCGCAACGAGCGCAACCCUUUGA